AUGUCCAUGUAAUCUUAUUCAUUAUAAUCUAGGAUCAUACCCCCCCCUCCUCCCCCAUGUAAUCUUAUUGGUUCUGAUCUGAAAGCCUAAACUGAUCCUACAGUAGAUCAGCAGGUCUGAACUGAUCCUACAGUAGAUCAGCAGGUCUGAACCGAUCCUACAGUAGAUCAGCAGGUCUGAACCGAUCCUACAGUAGAUCAGCAGGUCUGAACCGAUCCUACAGUAGAUCAGCAGGUCUGAACCGAUCCUACAGUAGAUCAGCAGGUCUGAACCGAUCCUACAGUAGAUCAGCAGGUCUGGACCGAUCCUACAGUAGAUCAGCAGGUCUGAACCGAUCCUACAGUAGAUCAGCAGGUCUGAACCGAUCCUACAGUAGAUCAGCAGGUCAGAACUGAUCCUACAGCAGGUCAAAACUGAUCCCACAGCAGAUCAGCAGGUCGAAACUGAUCCUACAGCAGAUCAGCAGGUCAAAACUGAUCCUACAGCAGAUCAGCAGGUCGAAACUGAUCCUACAGUAGAUCAGCAGGUCUAAACUGAUCCUACAGCAGAUCUAAACUGAUCCUACAGCAGAUCAGCAGGUCUAAACUGAUCCUACAGUAGAUCAGCAGGUCGAAACUGAUCCUACAGCAGGUCUAAACUGAUCCUACAGCAGAUCUAAACUGAUCCUACAGCAGAUCAGCAGGUCUAAACUGAUCCUACAGUAGAUCAGCAGGUCGAAACUGAUCCUACAGCAGGUCGAAACUGAGCCUACAGCAGAUCAGCAGGUCUAAACGGGUCCUACAGUAGAUCAGCAGGUCUAAAUGGGUCCUACAGUAGAUCAGCAGGUCUAAACGGAUCCUACAGUAGAUCAGCAGGUCUAAACGGAUCCUACAGUAGAUCAGCAGGUCGAAACUGAUCCUACAGCAGAUCAGCAGGUCUAAACUGAUCCUACAGCAGAUCAGCAGGUCUAAACUGAUCCUACAGUAGAUCAGCAGGUCUAAACUGAUCCUACAGUAGAUCAGCAGGUCUAAACUGAUCCUACAGUAGAUCAGCAGGUCUAAACGGAUCCUACAGUAGAUCAGCAGGUCUAAACGGAUCCUACAGUAGAUCAGCAGGUCGAAACUGAUCCUACAGCAGAUCAGCAGGUCGAAACUGAUCCUACAGUAGAUCAGCAGGUCUAAACUGAUCCUACAGUAGAUCAGCAGGUCUGAACCGAUCCUACAGCAGAUCAGCAGGUCUAAACUGAUCCUACAGUAGAUCAGCAGGUCUAAACUGAUCCUACAGUAGAUCAGCAGGUCUGAACCGAUCCUACAGUAGAUCAGCAGGUCGACUAUGAGAUGCUUUAUAAAUAUACGGCCCUAGAUUGUCUUUGUAAAUUAACCUUUAAGUGUUUCAUCGAUAUCAGACCUGUGAUGUUUUGUAUCCAGUUCGUGUUUCUGUCUCCUGCUGUGUUAGUUGUCUGUCUGGCAGGGCAGUUGUGUCAUUCUCCUGUUUUAGACGAGUCGGUAGUACGAUACAACACAACAGUGUUUGCAUAGCAACAACCUACUU